rnacentral:rRNA from 1 species
UAGGGGAGAAAUUCCAAUCGAACCCGGAGAUAGCUGGUUCUCCUCGAAAUAGCUUUAGGGCUAGCCUCAUGCAAGUCUUACGGAGGUAGAGCACUGAAUUCCUAAGGGGGCGUCAAAGCUUACCAAGGGAUAUCAAACUCCGAAUGCCGUGUAGAUGGUGCAUGGGAGUCAGACUAUCCGAGAUAAGUUGGGUAGUCAAAAGGGAAAGAGCCCAGACCUACAGCUAAGGUCCCAAAAUGUGUGUUAAGUGGAAAAGGAUGUGGGAUUUCGAAGACAACUAGGAUGUUGGCUUAGAAGCAGCCAUCCAUUAAAAGAGUGCGUAAUAGCUCACUAGUCGAGAGGUCCUGCGCCGAAAAUGUCCGGGGCUGAAACACACUACCGAAGCUUGGGAAUUGACGAAUGUUAAUUGGUAGAGGAGCAUUCUUAACGGGGCGAAGCUGUACCGGAAGGAGCAGUGGACUGUUAAGAAGAGAGAAUGCCGGAAUGAGUAGCGAGAGGAAGGUGAGAAUCCUUCCGGCCGAAUAUCUAAGGUUUCCAGAGUAAAGCUGAUCUGCUCUGGGUAAGUCGGGGCCUAAGGCGAGGUCGAAAGACGUAGUCGAUGGAUAACAGGUAAAGAUUCCUGUACUAUAUCAUAACAGAACUGUGGGGACGCAGACAGAGAGCAUAAGCCGGGAAUGGAAAAACCGGUACAAGCGAGGUAGGAGUGCAUCAGGCAAAUCCGGUGCACAAUCUGAAGACGUGAUGUGGGGCGUAAAGCCGGAAGUAUGUGAGCUGGCUGCCAAGAAAAGCCGCUAUUGUUUAUGAUAUACCCGUACCGUAAACCGACACAGGUGGAUGAGGAGAGAAUCCUAAGGCCGACGGGAGAAGCAUUGUUAAGGAACUCGGCAAAAUGACUCCGUAACUUCGGGAGAAGGAGUGCCAUGUAAAAGUGGCCGCAGAGAAUUGGCCCAAGCAACUGUUUAGCAAAAACACAGGUCUAUGCAAAACCGAAAGGUGAGGUAUAUGGGCUGACGCCUGCCCGGUGCUGGAAGGUUAAGGGGAGAGGUUAGUCGUAAGGCGAAGCUUUGAACUUAAGCCCCAGUAAACGGCGGCCGUAACUAUAACGGUCCUAAGGUAGCGAAAUUCCUUGUCGGGUAAGUUCCGACCCGCACGAAAGGCGUAAUGAUUUGGGCACUGUCUCGACAAUGCACCCGGUGAAAUUGAAGUACCAGUGAAGAUGCUGGUUACCUGCGCCAGGACGGAAAGACCCCAUGGAGCUUUACUCCAGCUUGAUACUGGGAUUCGAUAUUGCAUGUACAGGAUAGGUGGGAGACUGAGAACUGAUGACGCCAGUUGUCAGGGAGUCACUGUUGGGAUACCACCCUUGUAGUAUUGGAUUUCUAACCAGCAGCCGUGAACCGGCUGGGGGACAAUGUCAGGUGGGGAGUUUGACUGGGGCGGUCGCCUCCGAAAGGGUAUCGGAGGCGCUCAAAGGUUCCCUCAGAAUGGUUGGAAACCAUUCGAAGAGUGCAAAGGCAGAAGGGAGCUUGACUGCGACACCGACGGGUGGAGCAGGUACGAAAGUAGGACUUAGUGAUCCGGUGGUAUAAAGUGGGAUUGCCAUCGCUCAACGGAUAAAAGCUACCCUGGGGAUAACAGGCUUAUCACUCCCAAGAGUUCACAUCGACGGAGUGGUUUGGCACCUCGAUGUCGGCUCAUCGCAUCCUGGGGCUGAAGUAGGUCCCAAGGGUUGGGCUGUUCGCCCAUUAAAGCGGUACGCGAGCUGGGUUCAGAACGUCGUGAGACAGUUCGGUCCCUAUCCGGCGUGGGCGUAGGAUAUUUGAGAGGAGCUGUCCUUAGUACGAGAGGACCGGGAUGGACUGACCUCUGGUGUACCGGUUGGGUAUCAAACCCAUGGCCGGGUAGCCAAGUCGGGAAGGGAUAAACGCUGAAGGCAUCUAAGCGUGAAGCCCCCCUCAAGAUGA